AUGCGGCGGCUUUCCAUCGUGUUCGAAGACCCUGACGCGUGGGUCCCACGCGUCAGUGGCGGCGGGCGCACGUGCACUCGGCGGGGCCGGUCGGUUCGGUCCGGUUUUCUCCCCUUUUUUUUCUUUUAGCCUUUUUCUUUUCCUGUUUUCCUUAUUUCUUUGAUAACUUUUGAUUUUGAACUCCAAAUUGGCCCAAAUAAAUUUCAGAAAAUUGUAAAAUUAUGUUUUACCAUGAUACAACUUUUGGGAGUAAUUUACCUUCAAAAUAAAAUAUAUAAAAAUACAUUUACCCUAUAAAUGCCUUUAGGGCUAUAUAACUAUUUAAAUAAAAUACUUUUUCAACUCCAAAUAUUUAUCCAAAAAUUAUGGGAUAGCUUAUUUAUGCAAUAAACCCUUUUAUAGUUAAAAUUUAUUGGUUUGAAGAUCCAAAGUUCAAUUGGGUGUAAACCCUAGGGUUUAAAUUGAAAUAAAAUCUUUCCAAAGCCUUUUGAGAUUCAAAAUUGAAUUCAAAUGUGCAAUUGUGGUA
rnacentral:lncRNA from 1 species